CGAUAUCGACGUAGUUGAUUAUGGCUACAGAACGAACGCUGGCGGCAGGCUUAACACAUGCAAGUCGAACGCCCGUAGCAAUACGGGAGUGGCGGACGGGUGAGUAACGCGUGGGAACGUACCCUGAGGUACGGAAUAACCGAGGGAAACUUCGGCUAAUACCGUAUGAGCCCCGCGAAGGGGGAAAGAUUUAUCGCCUUGGGAGCGGCCCGCGUCGGAUUAGCUAGUUGGUGGGGUAACGGCCUACCAAGGCUUCGAUCCGUAGCUGGUCUGAGAGGACGAUCAGCCACACUGGGACUGAGACACGGCCCAGACUCCUACGGGAGGCAGCAGGUGGGGAAUCUUGCGCAAGUGGGGGCCAACCCUGACGCAGCCAUGCCGCGUGAACGAUGAAGGCCGUUAGGGUUAGUAAAGUUUCCUUUUACCCGUGACGAUGAUGACGGUAACGGGGAAUAAGCUCCGGCUAACUUCGUG
rnacentral:rRNA from 1 species